CGUUUAAUUUUUUUCUCAAGCUUUCGUAAGAUUACAACAAGCAGAAGUAUAAAGACAAGAGAACUGCUAAAAUAAAAAGAAUAACUGAAACUUCUGUUUCCAAUUACAAGCAGCAAGGCAGUACAUUACAAAACAAGCUUUGUCAUAGGUACAUUAUGAAAUCCAUCCCUGCAUUUGGAACAUUUUCAGUAAAUAAUUUGUGUUGAUCCGGCAAACAAACACGUCUAAAGGCUGCCAGAACUUCAAUUCUACCAAUUCCACAUUGUCUAAGUUUUGAGUGAUUUUCAAACUGACUGUAUACCACAUUGGAUACUUCCCCAUCCUAGCAUUUGCCAUAUCCAGCGGAUAUAGUUGGCAUAUAAAUGAUACUUUACACAGACAUGAGAUAGGCAAAUAAAAUGGUACAAGUUUUUGCAUCCAUUAGAAGUGCAUAUUGAGUAAGCAUAUUUUAGGAGUGGGAUAUUCAAGAAACGCAUGGCCAAUCAAAAGUUUGUAUUUAUAAAAUUUCAUACAAGUUGCGUCCCAAACAGCAUGGGGAGUCGAGAAUUUGUGCUGCAAUACCACAUCCAAAACAGUACGGGGACUCAGAGAAUUUGUGUUGCAUAUUAUAGAAUAAAAAUCUUAGCUCAAUGUCCAAACAUAGACCUGGCCUCCGCUACUACCUCCUGCUAACAUCCCAACCUCAUAAGAGUGUGCAUCAAAUUUAAGUGGAUUUGCAGAUAUGGGUGGACUCUCUAGAGUCAUCACGGGCUCAUCGUAGUAGGUUGCAACAUGUCAAAAAUGAAUGAAGUGCAAAUGACUGAUUCUGGUAAUUAGCAAGUUAAUAAAAUAGCAUCCAAUUUUGAUACUUCGUUGAAAUCAUUAAGAAAGGAUAAAAAAGAAGGAAAAGAUAAAUAAGACUCUUGAUAGUAUUUUGAUAAUGUGAUUCUCUGAAUUUGCCUGUGGUAAAACCUUGCUACUAGUAAUCCUAUUCAUUCUAAAAAGGUUUAAAUACGUGAAGUGUACCUAUUACAAGCGAGUACAAAAAGACUACCUAAUUUAUAAGGAAAAUGAAUCAUUGAUCUGUCAUGAGUUUAAGCGCAGCUGCAACCUACAAGAGAAGAAUAAGAUAUAUUGUCCGAUUUGAAAACCACUUUAGGUAAAGCAUUUAGAUAGGGGAGGGUCCUAAACCAUUUUAGCAAAAACUUUAACUUGUUUAUUUGGGAUGUACGAUGUAAAGACGAUAAUAUUGUAAAAUUAAUUUACUUCUUUAUUUAGAAUAUAUAAUCUAAUGACGAUAUUGACAGCACUUGUAAUAUGAAUUUUGUUUUGUUCAAUUUAGACAUUUAAUGCUCGAGUAUUUGUCGUUUUCCCACUGGUUUUGCUUGAAGUAAUGGCAAUCAAUCAAACGAGUGAUACUUUAAUUAAUCAAUGUUUAUGAACUGUUGUUACUGCUAUUAAGUAAACUGUUCUCUAUCUUCAUUCUCUUACCUUUUUUUUUUGGUAUAAAAGUGAACAGACAGUUCCACAUACCGAGACUGCAAAACCAGAUAUAUGAGAGCUAAAACUGAAAUGGAGGUUUAUUUUUGUAGUAAUGUACUGAAAUGGAGGUUUAUUUUUGUAGCAAUGUACGACUAUUGCUCAACAAUCCAUGUAUACGAUUGCCAUGCCUUUGAAACUAAACAUAUUAUUAGAUCAAGUAAGGCAAGAGUGAGUUCCUUUUUAUUACCAGAGAUUCUUUAAUAUCUCAUUCUUAUUUUUUUUAUUAUUACAUGAGAGUAUAGAAGCUAAAAAGGUCAUAACUUUACUAUAAUGUAUAUAUCUUUGUUCUCUUUGCUGCAUAGGACUAUCUCUACGCCUCCCAUGCUUGAGAAGCUGCAGAAAAUACAGUUAAUUUUUUCCAUUAGAAUGACUCGCUAUGAUACAGUUUGAAAUGGCAUUAAGAAUAAGAGGUAAAACUCUAAGGUUAAGUUUUUCUAUCAAUCUUUUUAAUAAUUGCUCUUUAGGCACCUAGCAAUUGCUCACAUGCACCUAACUCGAAUGGUAGUUAAUUACCGUUCGCUUCCCAUCAAUAGUUAAUUACCGCUCAUCACUUUUUAAACCGGUUUAACCAAUUUAAAAGGCAUCCGAAUGGUGAUAUACUACUGAUGGCGGGGCGUUUUAGGUGCCUGUGAGCAAUUUCUAGGUGAAGAGCAACUUCCUUAAUCCCCUGGGGAUAGGGUCAGUCCAACAAAUAUAUAGGCCUAAACCAAAAUUUGAAGUUAGCCACAUAAAAAAAAACAAACAACAAACUCCAUAUGAUUAUAGUUAUGUAUACACAGUAUUAUAAAAGAUAUAGUUGUAUAUCGAGAGAGUAUUAUAAAGGAUCUAUAAUAAGUAAAACGAAGCUAUGUUUAAUAAGAAGAAAUGAUCUACGUACCUGCUUGAGAAAGAGCCCAGUUGCUGUCUUGUUCAAUAUGCCAAGCAAAAUAUCCAAACAAACCAUUUUGCUUGGCAUAGUCAACCUUGGCAGAUAUACUCUGAGUGUCAUCGUAUCCAUACCAAUCUGUCCCUAUGAAGCAAUAAUUAGUAACAUAUGUGGAAUUGUACACAACCUGCACCCCAACAUUUAUUAUAUCUUUGUACUUCACUGCCCCAAGCCCCUGUGUAGCUUGAUCAAAAAUUUCAUGGUUAUUAGGAUCUGACAAACUCCACUUGAAACCAUAGAAAGGUACACCCAAUGCUAGUUUGCUUUUUGGAACUCCUAACCCAAUCCAUUUUGUGAUACCUUCAUCUACACUGAAUUGGCCUGUUGGGUUUUUCAAAGGAGCAGGUGGUUGUGUUUGAGUUUGAUACCUAUCUGAGAUGAAAAGGUCAUAAGUCAUUACAUUGACCCAAUCCAAGUUGUUUGCAAUAUCCUGACCUGGGUAGUAUUCCAAAGAGAUGAUCUGAUCAGAGCCACCCACGGCAGCAGAUAACAGCAGUGUCGGCUUGCCAGAACUGCUAGACUCUUGGGUCACAGCAGCUCUCCACUCCGUAAUGAGUAAACCAAAGUUGGUUUUAUCUGUGUCGGAGGAUGGAUACUCCCAGUCAAGAUCCAAGACCAUUGAAGUUGUUAUUUCUAGCAAGUUGAAUUGAAGAAUCUAUGAAAGAUUUUCGUCUACUGGCUUGGCUAGCCAUAUCAGCAAAUUGUUUUGCCAAAGUUGAAUUCCCACCACCAAUUGAUAAAAGAGUUUUCACCGAACUACUCUUUGCCUGGAUUGUUUCAGUGAAGGUUGAGAAACUAGCUGCGUUUGCAGAAGAAAUAGUGACUUGGUUGGUAUUAGAAUCAAGGUC
rnacentral:lncRNA from 1 species